CCUCAGGCUGUGGAAGAGAAAGGAGA
rnacentral:piRNA from 1 species